UACAGAGGUCUCAAGCGUUGUUCGGAUUCAUUGGGCGUAAAGGGUGCGUAGGCGGCGCGGUAAGUCGGGUGUGAAAUCUUGGAGCUUAACUCCGAAACUGCAUUCGAUACUGCGGUGCUUGAGGACUGGAGAGGAGACUGGAAUUCAUGGUGUAGCAGUGAAAUGCGUAGAGAUCAUGAGGAAGACCAGUGGCGAAGGCGGGUCUCUGGACAGUUCCUGACAGCUGAGAACACGGAAGGCCAGGGGAGCAAACGGG
rnacentral:rRNA from 1 species